rnacentral:rRNA from 1 species
AUGAGCAUUAUAAAAAUAUUUCUGCGUUCCUCACUGCAGGGACAAUCCAUUAAUCACUAUGUUUUUCUGACCAAUUUCAUAAUCUAUGGAUUCAAUCACCUGUGCUGGCACUGGUUCUUCCAAGUAGUUUUCUUUGUGCCCUACUUUCUACUUGUUAACACUGAUAUAAUUGCAAGAAUACCAUGGCAAAGACAACAAGUGCUAAACAAUGUGCUUGAUCAGUAUACUACUUUCUCCUUUGUUUAUGGGCAAUUGGCAGUGAAGCUACAGAAGGCAAUUUGCUCAGAUGAAGAAUAUUGGAGGAUGUCCACCAUGAGCCGAGGAGCCGAGCGAAGGCGUGCAUCAAGCUGGAAGCGAGCUGAGCGCAGGAGCGGUUCAAAGGGAGAUGAUUCCACCGUAUGGAAACCUGGUACGCUCGGCAGAAAAUUUAUAACCGGUUUCCACCUCCCACCACGUAAACUUGCCAUAAAAAACCUUUCCCAUCUGACGUUUGCCAAAUAA